UACGGAAGGGGCUAGCGUUGUUCGGAAUUACUGGGCGUAAAGCGCGCGUAGGCGGCUUGGCGAGUGAGGCGUGAAAGUCCUGGCCUCAACCUGGGGACGGCGUUUCAGACUGCCUGGCUUGAGUCCGGAAGAGGGUGGUGGAAUUCCGAGUGUAGAGGUGAAAUUCGUAGAUAUUCGGAGGAACACCGGUGGCGAAGGCGGCCACCUGGUCCAACUGACGCUGAAGUGCGAAAGCGUGGGGAGCAAACAGG
rnacentral:rRNA from 1 species